GACGAACGCUGGCGGCGUGCCUAAUACAUGCAAGUCGAACGCAUCUUUCCUCCCUAGUGCUUGCCGUCAAUUGGAAAGAGGAGUAGCGGACGGGUGAGUAACACGUAGGUAACCUACCCAUUAGAGAGGGAGGACACGUGGUAACAGGGGCUAAUACCGCGUAACAGUUUAUGCCGCAUGGCAUAAGAGUGAAAGGCGCUUUCGGGGGUCGCUGAUGGAUGGAUCCGCGGUUCGUUAGCUAGGUGGUGAGGUAACGGCUCACCAAGGCCACGACGCAUAGCCGACCUGAGAGGGUGAUCGGCCAGACUGGGAGUGAGACACGGCCGAGACUCCUACGGGAGGCAGCAGUAGGGAAUCUUCCGCAAUGGAGGAAAGUCUGACCGAGCAACGCCGCGUGAGUGAAGAAGGUUUUCGGCUCGUAAAACUCUGUUGUUAGUGAAGAACAAAGACGUUAGUAACUGAACGGCUCCUGACGGUACCUAACCAGAAAGCCACGGCUAACUACGUG
rnacentral:rRNA from 1 species